rnacentral:rRNA from 1 species
GAUGAACGCUGGCGGCGUGCCUAAUACAUGCAAGUCGAGCGAACGGACGAGAAACUUGCUUCUCUUAUUUUAGCGGCGGACGGGUGAGUAACACGUGGAUAACCUACCUAUAAGACUGGGAUAACUUCGGGAAACCGGAGCUAAUACCGGAUAAUAUUUUGAACCGCAUGGUUCAAAAGUUAAAGACGGUCUUGCUUUCACUUAUAGAUGGAUCCGCGCUGCAUUAGCUAGUUGGUAAGGUAACGGCUUACCAAGGCAACGAUGCAUAGCCGACCUGAGAGGGUGAUCGGCCACACUGGAACUGAGACACGGUCCAGACUCCUACGGGAGGCAGCAGUAGGGAAUCUUGCGCAAUGGGCGAAAGCCUGACGGAGCAACGCCGCGUGAGUGAUGAAGGUCUUCGGAUCGUAAAACUCUGUUAUCAGGGAGGAACAGAUGUGUAAGUAUAUGUGCACAUAUUGACGGUACCUAAACAGAAAGCAACGGCUAACUACGUG